AAGUGUGACAAAAGCAAAGAUUGAAAACCUAGCGGAAACUUUAAGAUUCAGGAGAACCUAGAGGAAACCUUUGAGGUUUAGGAGAACCUAGAGGAAACUUUAAGACUCAGGAGAACCUAGAGGAAACUUAGAGGUUUAGGAAAACCUAGAGGAAACUUUAAGAUUCAGGAAAAACUAGAGGAAACCUAGAGGUUUAGGAGAACCUAGAGGAAACUUAGAGGUUUAGGAGAACCUAGAGGAAACCUAGAGGUUUAGGAAAACCUAGAGGAAACCUAGAGGUUUAGGAGAACCUAGAGGAAACUUUAAGAUUCAGGAAAAACUAGAGGAAACCUAGAGGUUUAGGAGAACCUAGAGGAAACCUAGAGAUUCAGGAGAACCUGGAGGAAACCUGGAGGUUCAAUGGAACCUAAGGAAAACCGGAAGAUUUAGGAGAACUUAGAGGAAACCUGGAGGUUCAGUGGAACCUAAGAAAACCUGAAGAUUGAAGAGAACCUAGAGGAAACCUAGAGAUUCAUAAGAACCUAGAGGAUUUGUAUCUUUAUUUUGCCAUUUUAGAAAUAAUAAUUCAUACAAAAAAUGGUUUCGUGUGCAAUAUUACUCGUUCUAGUCCUAGCGGGCCUAACUUCGGCAAAAAGAAAAAAAUCCAAUGAUUUUUGGAAUCUGACAGAUACUCGAAUUUGGGAGAAUUCCUCAGCGGAAAAUGAGAAUUAUGAAGAUGGAACACCGAGAAUAUUCAAUUCUCUUUUCCCUCCAGGAUCCACUUUUAGUCUAUUUUUUGAAAUUGCCGGAGUGCUGUUUCCUGUAACUGAUACAAUAUCACAAGAAUU